rnacentral:rRNA from 1 species
AUUGAACGCUGGCGGAAUGCUUUACACAUGCAAGUCGAACGGCAGCACGGGGCAACCUGGUGGCGAGUGGCGAACGGGUGAGUAAUACAUCGGAACGUGCCCAAUCGUGGGGGGAUAACGUAGCGAAAGUUACGCUAAUACCGCAUACGAUCUACGGAUGAAAGCGGGGGAUCGCAAGACCUCGCGCGAGUGGAGCGGCCGAUGUCAGAUUAGGUAGUUGGUGGGGUAAAGGCUCACCAAGCCAACGAUCUGUAGCUGGUCUGAGAGGACGACCAGCCACACUGGAACUGAGACACGGUCCAGACUCCUACGGGAGGCAGCAGUGGGGAAUUUUGGACAAUGGGCGCAAGCCUGAUCCAGCCAUUCCGCGUGCAGGAUGAAGGCCUUCGGUUGUAACUAGCUUUUGUUACGGUAACGAACGGACGAGCUCUAAUACAGUUUGUCUAAUGACGGUACCGUAAGGAAUAAGACACCGGCUAACUAACGUGCCAGCAGCCGCGGUAAA